UGGCUCUAGCAUCGAUGAAGAACGCAGCGAAAUGCGAUAAGUAAUGCGAAUUGCAGAAUUCAGUGAAUCAUCGAAUCUUUGAACGCACAUUGCGCCCGCCAGUAUUCUGGCGGGCAUGCCUGUCUGAGCGUCGUUUCGAUCCUUGCGCCCGGCUUCUGUCGGGGGCGGUGUUGGGGAUCGGCCACACCCUUUACUGGGCGGCCGUCCCCUAAAUCCAGUGGCGACCACGCUGUAGCCUCCCCUGCGUAGUACUAAAACCACCUCGCAGGCGGAGAGCGGUGCGGCCCGCCGUAAAACCCCCAACUUUUACAAGGUCGACCUCAGAUCAGGUAGGAAUACCCGCUGA
rnacentral:misc_RNA from 1 species